CAUUAAAAAAAAUUAUCAAUUUUUAUUGUUAAAAAUUGGCAUUACUCAUAGAAUAAUCAAAUAGUUACACGUGACGUGCUACAUAUAUCUCAUGUUAAUGUACAUAGACCAAUUUAUAGCAGUAAAAAUAGAUGAAAUUUUUAAUA
rfam:Gossypium raimondii Chr06_contig_47, whole genome shotgun sequence.